AUUUUUCUAACGCCUACCGCGAGUCCCAUGGACCCUCUAUCGGCACUCCGGGAGUACACAAUCCGCGGCGAGAUCGACAAGAUUGUGCGCGUCAACGACGAGUUCCGCUUCGCCAACGAAUACACAUUCCCUUGCAACGCCGACACUGCUUAUCGCUCCAAGCAGGGCAACCUCUACACUCUCGAGACCCUCGUCUUUUACAUCAAGGACCCUUACCUCAAACAUGUCGACUACAUCCAGAACGCCCGUGCCAAUCGCGUCCCCACUGUAACUCUCCCCGAUCGGAAACCCCUCCUCGACUACCUCACCGGAAAGGUGUCAUCCUCCGACGCUAUUGAGUUCCCGCUUCCUCAAAAUCCUAUCCCAAUUAUCAAUAAUAGUGAGUAUCGUCCCGAUGAGUCCGCAUUUGUUGAAUCUAAAUAUAAAUCCUUUCGUGAUGCUGGUUUGGCGGAUGUUACGGCGAUGGGGGUUGAUGAAACUCCUGAAAAUUUGGAUUUUAUGUUGAUGAUUAGGGCGAUUGAGAGGCCGUUGAAAGAUAGAGAGAGUUUACUGGAGUGCAAGCACAAGGAUUUUUAUAGUGGGCUUGUUACGGCCACGAAGCGGGAGGAAGAAAGGCAGCGAAUUGAGUCGCAGCAGAGGAAGGACGGUCUGGUGGCGAAGAAUCGGUUGAUGGGGGCGGAUGAGCGAGGUUUAGGAUUUUCGGAUGAGAUGGCUUACGAUUCGGGGCCUAAGUCAAAGAUGUUGAAGGUUGGCCAAAUGGGUGAGGGGGUGCCUAUAAUUCUUGUGCCCAGUGCGUUCCAGACACUCAUUACGAUUUACAAUGUGAAGGAGUUUUUGGAAGACGGGGUUUUCGUGCCCACCGAUGUAAAGGUGAAACAGAUGAAGGGGUCAAGGCCAGAUUGUAUCACUGUGCAGAAGAAGUUCAGUAGGGACAGGGAGAAGGUAAUGCAAGCCUACGAGGUCAGGGAUAAACCAUCUGCUUUGAAGCCGGAGGACUGGGACAGGGUGGUGGCUGUUUUUGUGUUAGGGAAAGAGUGGCAGUUCAAAGAGUGGCCUUUUAAGGAUCACGUGGAGAUUUUCAAUAAAAUUAUUGGUUUUUUCAUGCGAUUUGAAGAUGACAGCGUGGAGUCAGCUAAGACUGUGAAGCAGUGGAAUGUAAAAAUCAUUUCCAUAAGUAAGAACAAGAGACACCAGGACAGGGCGGCAGCACUGGAGGUUUGGGACAGACUGGAAGAAUUUGUCCGGCCCCGGUCACAUUCUUGAGACGGGCAGAGAUUUCAAGAGCCUUUGCGUGCACCUUUGAAUGCUUGAUGGAUUGGAUGAGUGCUGUAUGAGAUUUGACGAUCAUAUUCCUAGCAGUAUCCUCGUACACAUACAUAUAUGCAUGCAAUGAAAAAGGGGAAAAAAAGGAGAUACAUACAUGCUCACAUGUAAGGCUUGAAGCAUAAUACCUUCUGAAUCUAAAUUGAAGCAUAAUGAAAGAACGAUUCAAGAAAACCGAGGCUGGUGCAGCUGUGUCCAACUCUUGAAUUGCUUACAUACUCACGCAGCUAUACUGGCAUAUGACGUUUCAUUGAAAAUGCUUAUAGAACAGGAUGAAGCUAUAUACAUAUGCCUUUUCUGGAUACAAUGUGUCUUUCCACCAAGUUCACAUGUAAUGCAAUUUGUGAUAAACCAAGAGGAUGAUUUAUGCCCGUGACCAUCAUUAUUCUUGACCCAUGGAGAGCAGAUUCAUGAUUAAAGCACGUUCUUUUCUCUUUAUUCUUCUGUAUUCUCUUGGUGCAUUGUGCAUUGAUGGUAGCUCAUGUUAAGAAGUUUAGGAAAUGAUGAAGUUUAGUACAUGAGUUUUUCUGUUGGCUGUGACUAA